rnacentral:rRNA from 1 species
GCGAGCGUGUGAGCGUAAGCAAAUCCCAAAAAUAACGUCUCAGUUCGGAUUGCAGUCUGCAACUCGGCUGCAUGAAGCUGGAAUCGCUAGUAAUCGCGGAUCAGAAUGCCGCGGUGAAUACGUUCCCGGGUCUUGUACACACCGCCCGUCACACCAUGGGAGUCGGUAACACCCGAAGCCAGUAGCCUAACCGCAAGGGGGGCGCUGUCGAAGGUGGGAUUGAUGACUGGGGUGAAGUCGUAACAAGGUACC